GACAGAGGGUGCAAACGUUGUUCCGGAAUUACUGGGCGUAAAGCGUGUGUAGGCGGUCCACUAAGUCGGAUGUGAAAGCCCUGGGCUCAACCCAGGAAGUGCACUCGAAACUGGCGGGCUAGAGUAUCGGAGAGGUUGGUGGAAUUCUCGGUGUAGAGGUGAAAUUCGUAGAUAUCGAGAGGAACACCGGUGGCGAAGGCGGCCAACUGGACGAAUACUGACGCUGAGACACGAAAGCGUGGGGAGCAACAGG
rnacentral:rRNA from 1 species